AAGACCUUGCACUUUUGGAGCGGCCGAUGUCUGAUUAGCUAGUUGGUGGGGUAAUGGCCUACCAAAGCUUCGAUCAGUAGCUGGUCUGAGAGGACGGCCAGCCACACUGGGACUGAGACACGGCCCAGACUCCUACGGGAGGCAGCAGUGGGGAAUUUUGGACAAUGGGCGCAAGCCUGAUCCAGCCAAGCCGCGUGAGUGAAGAAGGCCUUCGGGUUGUAAAGCUCUUUCAGUCGGGAAGAAAAGGUUGCGACUAAUAAUCGCAAUUCAUGACGGUACCGAAAGAAGAAGCACCGGCUAACUACGUGCCAGCAGCCGCGGUAAUACGUAGGGUGCGAGCGUUAAUCGGAAUUACUGGGCGUAAAGGGUGCGCAGGCGGUUUUGUAAGUCAGAUGUGAAAUCCCCGGGCUUAACCUGGGAACU
rnacentral:rRNA from 1 species